AGGGGCGAGAGAGGCAGCAGGGUGGGUGGGGAGAGCGUGGCUCAGGCUGAGCCAGCCGGGCGGGGGGAGGGUUCACGGCUCCAGCAGACACAGCAGGAGGAAGGUUGCUCCUUAGCAUGGAGAUGGUGGGCAAGGCCGCUCUCUAGGGGGAAGGGAGCUUGUAGGUGAUGGGAGAAGGAGGCUCCACAGGCAGAGGCUCCAAGCCAUGCAGGAGUCAGUGAGGUCAUGCUGCCCAGCUCACGAAUACGCGAUCUCCCAGCAGCUGCCGCCGCAGAUUUAAACCACGCACCGAGCUCCGUUCAUUGGCUGUCCUCUUGUCUUCCCUCGAUCGUCAUUGGCUGCUCCUCGUUCCACCCCGAAUGCGUUUCUGUGGAGACCGGGCGCUGA